CGAUUGAAUGGCUCGGUGAGGCCUUCGGACUGGCCCAGGGAGGUCGGCAACGACCACCCAGGGCCGGAAAGUUGGUCAAACCCGGUCAUUUAGAGGAAGUAAAAGUCGUAACAAGGUCUCCGUAGGUGAACCUGCGGAGGGAUCAUU
rnacentral:rRNA from 1 species